GCAUACAAAGUCCUUAAAGACGACUAUCACAUCACGGUCAACAGCAACACCCAGGCAAACGAUUACAUUACUCGCCGGGACGAGACGAAGCGCUUGUUGAUGAAUGUACGGGUCAACGACACCCCGGGCACUCGCUACUGGCAAACCGCAGUAUCGUCAGCUCAUUACCCCGAAAAGUCCGAAACAUCCCAAAGCACCGGCGAAGUAGUGAAACCCGUCCACGACUGGACAUCACACCAUCGCACCCAAACAGAAUUCUUUGCCGUAAACUACCGGCCUCCAAAGCCAGUAGUGAAACAUAUAAAACGUAAACCUAUGAACUUCAUGCCAUCGUAGGUC
rnacentral:misc_RNA from 1 species